rnacentral:rRNA from 1 species
ACUCCUACGGGAGGCAGCAGUAGGGAAUCUUCCACAAUGGACGAAAGUCUGAUGGAGCAACGCCGCGUGAACGAUGAAGGCCUCGGUCGUAAGUUACUGUUGUAAGGGAAGAACAAGUGCCGCAGGCAAUGGCGGCACCUUGACGGUACCUUGCGAGAAAGCCACGGCUAACUACGUGCCAGCAGCCGCGGUAAUACGUAGGUGGCAAGCGUUGUCCGGAAUUAUUGGGCGUAAAGCGCGCGCAGGCGGCCUCUUAAGUCUGAUGUGAAAGCCCCGGCUCAACCGGGGGAGGGCCAUUGGAAACUGGGAGGCUUGAGUAUAGGAGAGAAGAGUGGAAUUCCACGUGUAGCGGUGAAAUGCGUAGAGAUGUGGAGGAACACCAGUGGCGAAGGCGACUCUUUGGCCUAUAACUGACGCUGAGGCGCGAAAGCGUGGGGAGCAAACA